rnacentral:lncRNA from 10 species
AGCCUUCUCAUGAGAAAGGGCCAGGACAGCACCUUCUUUCUCUUCUUAACUUCUACAGCCAAGAAAACAAGGCAACGAGAAAAAUUAGACUACAGUGUUAAGAAGCAAAGAUCCAGGUGACUGGUCACCUUGGGUUUUCCAGGUUGCUGCUUUAGGACAGAGGCAAAUACGAAUCGCUGCGGGAAGCCUUGAACCUAGAUCUGGCAACUGGGAAUUAUCAGCAAAACGUUAUCAAGAUAUUCUGUCCUUCUGAAAUCCACAAGAUGUGUGUGCAAUGGAUAUUGCAAUCUCAAACAUUUCCUUCUUUCUUUUCUUUUCCUUCCUUCCUUCCUUCUCCUUUCUUACUAAUUAUAAAGGCUAUAUUUUCUAAAUGCAUUGGCAUCUGUUUCUAUACAUUUCAGAUUGGCAAGUGGAAGCAUGAUGAGAAAGAAGUGGCCUGUCUUUAUGGUUCAGGAGAACUGGGUCAGGGUUACGCUAUAAUGAAAUGCAUUAUGAAAAAAGUUGAGAGUGAAUGGUGGGUCCUUUGGGAUUUGAGAUCAGCAACAGUUGCUUCAUAGGCUCUUGGAUGCAUUCUCCAUAAGAGAAGGAAGAAAAUGGAAAAGACACUGUGUGUUUUUCAAAUGUGUGCAUGCUAAUUGUCGAAACAUACAUGGCCAGGAGAUUGAACCGCAUUAAAAACGCUUGGCAGAACUGGGGAUUCUCUAUGGAGAGGCUCUUUCCUUUCCCAGCACUCCCUGCUCUAGUGAGUUGGAGCAUACCUGCCAUUUAAGGGUUAAUGUUCUGCGGUCUUUAACAGAACAACUUAUACAAAAAAAUUCCUAGUAGAGUAAAAGCGCUGUGGUUUUGCAAACCAAGAGCACUGGUUGUUAGCACUUACAUAAAAGAUCGGUAUGUUUUUAAAACUCACCAAUGAGCUGGCAAAUACUGUCUUCACUCUCACAUGAUGCCAACAGGGGAUGUUCCUUGAUAUCACCCUAAAAACAUUUUUAUUUCAGUUAAAUAUAGUGACUGAAGAAACCUAUCGAGUCUUUCCCCACAAAACACACAUACAGCAUUUUAUUCAUAUUAAAAAUGAAGUCAGUAGAGUGCAUUGAUGUUUUUUCUAGCUUCUAGAAGCAAUAUUAAGGUCUUGAUUGUCAUCAUAUAAGAUCCUAAUUAAUGUGCUUAAUUUACUACAUGUGUGAUGUUAGUUUACUACUCUUAUAAUUACUAUUCAACCCAAAUAAUAUUCAAUUAAAACAAAGUUUUCCACCUUCUCACAGUACAGAUAAAAAGUCUUAAAAAUUGCUUUCUUACCUCUGAUUGACAUUCGAUUAGUGUCUCCAUAUUAUUGGCGUUUAGUGUUUUUGACUAAAAGAGAAAAAAUAAAAUUAGGUAAAUAUCUUUUGGCCCUUGCCUGUAGGAAACGUGAAUGAAUGAAUGUGAGAGGGGCACUCACAGCAUUGUGGCUGCUUCUCAGCUUCAUCAGUAUUGCGGCUGACUGUCCAGGGGUGGAUUUCACUCCCGUGUGGCUGUGCCUCUGUCUACAACGAAUCACAUGGAAAGGAGUUAGGAGGGACUCACACAGUAGGCCACUUUCAGCGCCACUUUGCCAAAGCACAGAGUUUGAAACUAUUUAUUUAUUUUUCUCUUUUGCUAUUUUUUCACUUGCCUUUACUUUGGAAAAAACUAUUACAUAGACAAGUUUUCAUUUAAAAUCAGUUCUGUUACCAGAUGUUGUAUGUUGUUAAGAGCAGCAUCUGAACACAAUUAUUUCUAAAUUAUUUAAGUCAACUAUCUUUACCACUCUAAACGUUGUUACCAAUUUAUUCCGUUCCAUCAAGAGAUAAUCUGGAUAUCAAUUACGUUAACAUUUUAAAUUAACAUGAACAUUAACUUUUUUGGUGGAGUGCUGACUAUAUGCCAGCUGUCGUAGUAGGUGCUUUGCAUGGAUUUUCUCAUCUAAUCCAAAAAGGAAAAAAAAAAAAACAUAUCCCUAGGAUGCUAAAAUAGUAAACAUGAAACAAAGAUAACAUUUACAGAACUCCUACACCAAAAAGGUGCAGCCUUCACGUUGAAGCAAAGCUUUGUCCUGAGACUUUAUAAAGUGAGAGCAUAUUCCACGGGAUAGCUGUUUUCUGUUGCCUGUGAUCUGAGUGACCUGUGACUUGCGAGGCAGCUUGUAAUUUCUAGGCAUGUUAAUAUAUAGUGUACUUACCCUUGGAGGGUCUCUAGCCAGAGUUCUUUUACAUCCGGUGAGCUGUAA